UUCUUUUUUGUGUGUGUUUAGCAGAACGAAGAUAUUGUUGGAUGUUGAUUUGCACACGAAUGGACGGAUGAAUCGUAAAAUCGGCGUGUCAUCUCAUAAAAGACGAAGAUCACAGUUUGUAAGCGUUGCGAAUCAUCAAGUCAAAAUAUGCAUCAUGAUCUAUACUUGCACUGAUAGCGCUGUAAUAAUUCAUGAAUUCCUCCGCCGUUACCUGCAAUGGAAUAAGAAAACAACACUAUUAAGAAAUGCCGGACAAAAGGUUCAUAAAGUUGAGCAAGAGAAGAAUAAUUUAGCAGGACUUGGCAAAACAUUAGAUAUGUAAUUCACGAUUGGGGAAGGAUCGGAGACCUUCCUUUCGCGCGUCGACGCGCGGAACCACUCACCUCGGCUUCCGGAGAACGCGUGUGUAGCGGAAGACGCGGGUUCACGGAAGGAAGAAGCAAGAACCGAAUCCGGGGUCCGUCUUUCUCUUCAGCGGCAGCGGCGGCGCGACGUCUUUACCAAGAGUACCGGAAGCAAUAUGCGAUAAUGUCACCUUGACCUGUGAUUAUUGAGUUUGAUAUCGAUGGCAGACACGAAUGGAACAGAAAAAGUCCACGAAGUAGAUAAAUUGUCGUACAUAUUUGAUCGGCUCUGUCUAGAGUUGGAUGCACAUACACGAUGGAGGUAACAUAUAUAUAUAUAUAUAUAUAAAUUGCAACAUUAUUGCUGUUGUGGUGUAUGUCUAUAUUACACGUUUCACGUUCUUGAACUCUCGCAUUUGCAAUUGUCGCGCAGAAUCCGCACAAUGAUAAUUAACAGCGAGGUAUGACGACAAAAUAACAACCCACGUGGUCGGAGCGCUGUCAUAGACUCUCAAGCCACGUGUUUCAAUAAUUAUGAAUCUAAUUUAAAAUAUAGCAGUUGUCAAAUUGAAUUCGAGACAUUGAUUAUAAGAAAAGUAUUAAUGUUAUCAAAUUGAAUAAAUACACAGACAGUAGACUAAUUGA